CCAGUUCUGCUCCAUGAGCCGCCGCCACUGCAUGGCUGUGGACAGGUGAGUGUUGUGGUUCCGUGCCCAGGAACUGAACCAGGGCCACUGAACCUUAACCCCUAGGCCAUCAGGGCUGGCUCAGUGUUACAUGGU
ensembl:miRNA